rnacentral:rRNA from 1 species
CAGUCGCCGCGGGAAUACGUAGGUCCCGAGCGUUGUCCGGAUUUAUUGGGCGUAAAGCGAGCGCAGGCGGUUAGAUAAGUCUGAAGUUAAAGGCUGUGGCUUAACCAUAGUACGCUUUGGAAACUGUUUAACUUGAGUGCAGAAGGGGAGAGUGGAAUUCCAUGUGUAGCGGUGAAAUGCGUAGAUAUAUGGAGGAACACCGGUGGCGAAAGCGGCUCUCUGGUCUGUAACUGACGCUGAGGCUCGAAAGCGUGGGGAGCAAACAGGAUUAGAUACCCGCGUAGUCCCUGUCUCUUAUACA